GCUUUUAUAGUUUAAAAUUAAAACAGUAAUUUUGUAAAUUACUAAUAAAUGAAUAUUAAUUUUAGAGGCU
rnacentral:tRNA from 1 species